rnacentral:rRNA from 1 species
CAAUAGCGUAUAUUAAAGUUGUUGCAGUUAAAACGCUCGUGGUUGAAUAUCUGCUAUAUGUGUACGGUCCACUUUGGUGUGACAGUUUACGAAUAGCAUUCGUUUGCGAUAACUUGUUGUUGCGAACCGUUUACUUUGAGGAAAUUAGAGUGUUCAAAGCAGGCUUUCGCCUUGAAUACUUCAGCAUGGAAUAAUAGAAUAGGACUCGGUUCUAUUUUGUUGGUUUGUUGGGACUGAGUAAUGAUUAAGAGGGACAGUUGGGGGCAUUUGUAUUUCGUCGCUAGAGGUGAAAUUCUUAGAUUGACGAAAGACAAACUGCUGCGAAAGCGUCUGCCAAGGAUGUUUUCAUUGA